GGGCCAGUAGCUCAACGGUAGAGCAGCAGACUCAUAAUCUGUUGGUUCCUGGUUCGAACCCAGGCUGGCCCA
rnacentral:tRNA from 1 species